UACGUAGGGAGCGAGCGUUGUCCGGAAUUACUGGGUGUAAAGGGAGCGUAGGCGGGACGGCAAGUCAGAUGUGAAAACUGAGGGCUCAACUUUCAGACUGCAUUUGAAACUGCUGUUCUUGAGUGAAGUAGAGGUAAGCGGAAUUCCUAGUGUAGCGGUGAAAUGCAUAGAUAUCGCGCAGAACUCCGAUUGCGAAGGCAGCAUGCCGGCUCCACACUGACGCUGAGGCACGAAAGCGUGGGUAUCGAACAGG
rnacentral:rRNA from 1 species